UACGUAGGGUGCAAGCGUUGUCCGGAAUUCUUGGGCGUAAAGAGCUCGUAGGCGGUUUGUUGCGUCGGCUGUGAAAUCCCGAGGCUCAACCUCGGGUCUGCAGUCGAUACGAGCAAACUAGAGUGUUGCAGGGGAGACUGGAAUUCCUGGUGUAGCGGUGAAAUGCGCAGAUAUCAGGAGGAACACCGGUGGCGAAGGCGGGUCUCUGGGCCGAUACUGACACUGAGGAGCGAAAGCGUGGGGAGCAAACAGG
rnacentral:rRNA from 1 species